rnacentral:lncRNA from 1 species
ACGAACGCUUCCCUUUUGAGCUGGUUAAGAUGGAGUUUGAUGAGAAGGAACUGCGAAGGGAGAUCAGCUACGCUAUCAAGAACAUUCAUGGCAUCAGAACGGGGCUGUUUACCCCAGACAUGGCCUUUGAAACCAUUGUGAAAAAGCAGGUGAAGAAGAUUCGAGAGCCGUGUCUCAAGUGUGUGGACAUGGUUAUCUCGGAGCUAAUCAGCACCGUUAGACAGUGCACCAAGAAGCUCCAGCAAUACCCCCGUCUGCGGGAGGAAAUGGAACGGAUUGUGACCACCCACAUCCGAGAACGUGAGGGCCGCACCAAGGAGCAGGUCAUGCUUCUCAUCGACAUUGAGUUGGCUUACAUGAAUACCAACCAUGAAGACUUCAUAGGCUUUGCCAAUGCUCAGCAGAGAAGCAACCAGAUGAACAAGAAGAAGACUUCAGGGAACCAGGAUGAGAUUCUGGUCAUUCGAAAGGGGUGGCUGACCAUCAACAACAUCGGCAUCAUGAAGGGAGGCUCCAAGGAGUACUGGUUUGUGUUGACUGCUGAGAAUCUGUCCUGGUACAAGGACGAUGAGGAGAAAGAGAAGAAGUACAUGCUGUCUGUGGAUAAUCUGAAGCUGCGUGAUGUGGAGAAGGGCUUCAUGUCAAGCAAGCAUAUUUUUGCCCUCUUCAACACUGAGCAGAGGAAUGUCUACAAGGAUUACCGGCAGCUGGAACUGGCCUGUGAGACACAGGAGGAGGUGGACAGUUGGAAGGCUUCCUUUCUGAGGGCUGGCGUGUACCCUGAGCGUGUUGGGGACAAGGAGAAAGCCAGUGAGACUGAGGAGAACGGCUCUGACAGCUUCAUGCACUCCAUGGACCCUCAGCUGGAGCGCCAGGUGGAGACCAUCCGGAACCUGGUAGACUCGUACAUGGCCAUUGUCAACAAGACUGUACGGGAUCUCAUGCCCAAGACCAUCAUGCACCUCAUGAUCAACAAUACCAAGGAGUUUAUCUUCUCUGAGCUGCUGGCCAACCUGUACUCUUGCGGGGACCAGAACACGCUGAUGGAAGAAUCGGCCGAACAGGCUCAGCGGCGCGACGAGAUGCUGCGUAUGUACCACGCACUGAAGGAGGCGCUCAGCAUUAUCGGCGACAUCAACACGACCACCGUCAGCACGCCCAUGCCCCCGCCCGUGGACGACUCCUGGCUGCAGGUCGCCCACGUCCAGCCCCACGCCGCAGCGCCGAGCCCCCGCCGUGCCCCCAGCCCGGCCCGGGUCGCGGGGCCCUGCUCCUGGGCCUCCGC